rnacentral:rRNA from 1 species
GACAGAGGUGCCAAGCGUUAGGCGGAAUCACUGGGCUUAAAGCGUGUGUAGGCGGGCGGGCAAGUACCUUGUGAAAUCCCACGGCUCAACCGUGGAACGGCUGGGUAUACUGCCUGUCUUGAGCCAGCUAGGGGCGACCGGAACAGACGGUGGAGCGGUGAAAAUGCGUAGAUAUCGUCUGGAACGCCAAAGGUGAAAAACAGGUCGCUGGGGGCUGAGCUGACGCUGAGACACGAAAGCCAGGGGGGGCGAACGGG